rnacentral:rRNA from 1 species
UAGGGAAUAUUAGUAAUGGGCGAAAGCCUGAACUAGCAACACCGCGUGUGCGAAGAAGGCCUUCGGGUUGUAAAGCACUUUUUGAGAGGAUGAGGAAGGACGGUACUCUCAGAAUAAGUCUCGGCUAACUACGUGCCAGCAGCCGCGGUAACACGUAGGAGGCAAACGUUAUCCGGAUUUACUGGGCGUAAAGCGCGUGUAGGUGGUUUGGUAAGUAGAGCGUGAAAGCUCCUGGCUCAACUGGGAGAGGUCGUUCUAAACUGCCGGACUAGAGGAUGGUAGAGGGAGGUGGAAUUCCGGGUGUAGCGGUGGAAUGCGCAGAGAUCCGGAGGAACACCAGUGGCGAGAGCGGCUUCCGGGACCACUCCUGACACUCAGACGCGAAAGCUAGGGUAGCAGACG